GUGCGAAUGCUGACAUGAGUAGCGAUAAACGAAGGUGAAAGUCCUUGUCGCCGAAAACCCAAGGUUUCCUACGCAACGUUCAUCGGCGUAGGGUGAGUCGGCCCCUAAGGCGAGGCAGAAAUGCGUAGUCGAUGGGAAACAGGUUAAUAUUCCUGUACCGAUAUGGAAUGCGAUGGGGGACGGAGAAGGGUAGGUCAGCCAACUGUUGGAAUAGUUGGUUCAAGCGUGUAGGCGUGCUCUGUAGGCAAAUCCGCAGAGCUUAGCUGAGGCGUGAUAACGAGGUGCCACGUGCACUGAAGUGAUUGAUCCCAUGCUUCCAGGAAAAGCCUCUAAGCUUCAGUUCCAUAUUGACCGUACUGCAAACCGACACAGGUGGGUAGGGUGAGAAUCCUAAGGCGCUUGAGAGAACUCAGGAGAAGGAACUCGGCAAAUUAACACCGUAACUUCGGGAGAAGGUGUGCCCUUGUAGGGUGAAGUCCCUUGCGGAUGGAGCUCGAAAGGGUUGCAGUGAAAAGGUGG
rnacentral:rRNA from 1 species